GAUGAACGCUGGCGGCGUGCCUAAUACAUGCAAGUCGAGCGAACAGACGAGGAGCUUGCUCCUCUGACGUUAGCGGCGGACGGGUGAGUAACACGUGGAUAACCUACCUAUAAGACUGGGAUAACUUCGGGAAACCGGAGCUAAUACCGGAUAAUAUAUUGAACCGCAUGGUUCAAUAGUGAAAGACGGUUUUGCUGUCACUUAUAGAUGGAUCCGCGCCGCAUUAGCUAGUUGGUAAGGUAACGGCUUACCAAGGCAACGAUGCGUAGCCGACCUGAGAGGGUGAUCGGCCACACUGGAACUGAGACACGGCCCAGACGCCUACGGGAGGCAGCAGUAGGGAAUCUUCCGAAAUGGGCGAAAGCCUGACGGAGCAACGCCGCGUGAGUGAUGAAGGUCUUCGGAUCGUAAAACUCUGUUAUUAGGGAAGAACAAAUGUGUAAGUAACGAUGCACGUCUUGACGGUACCUAAUCAGAAAGCCACGGCUAACUACGU
rnacentral:rRNA from 1 species